rnacentral:rRNA from 1 species
GAUGAACGCUGGCGGCGUGCCUAAUACAUGCAAUUAGAACGCUGAAGGAAGGAGCUUGCUCUUUCCUGAUGAGUUGCGAACGGGUGAGUAACGCGUAGGUAACCUGCCUGGUAGCGGGGGAUAACUAUUGGAAACGAUAGCUAAUACCGCAUAACAGUAGAUGUUGCAUGAUAUCUACUUAAAAGGUGCAAUUGCACCACUACCAGAUGGACCUGCGUUGUAUUAGCUAGUUGGUGAGGUAACGGCUCACCAAGGCGACGAUACAUAGCCGACCUGAGAGGGUGAUAGGCCACACUGGGACUGAGACACGGCCCAGACUCCUACGGGAGGCAGCAGUAGGGAAUCUUCGGCAAUGGACGGAAGUCUGAACGAGCAACGCCGCGUGAGUGAAGAAGGUUUUCGGAUCGUAAAGAUCUGUUGUAAGAGAAGAACGAGUGUGAGAGUGGAAAGUUCACACUGUGACGGUAUCUUACCAGAAAGGGACGGCUAACUACGUG